ACUCAAAGGAAUAGACGGGGGCCCGCACAAGCGGUGGAGCAUGUGGUUCAAUUCGAUGCAACGCGAAGAACCUUACCUGCCCUUGACAUCCUGCGAAGCCUGUAGAGAUAUGGGCGUGCCGAAAGGAGCGCAGAGACAGGUGCUGCAUGGCUGUCGUCAGCUCGUGUUGUGAGAUGUUGGGUUAAGUCCCGUAACGAGCGCAACCCCUAUCCUUAGUUGCCAACAUGUAAUGGUGGGGACUCUAAGGAGACUGCUGGUGAUGAACCGGAGGAAGGUGGGGACGACGUCAAGUCAUCAUGGCCUUUAUGGGCAGGGCAACACACGUGCUACAAUGGUGCGUACAGAGGGUAGCCAACCCGCGAGGGGGAGCCAAUCUCAGAAAGCGCAUCGUAGUCCGGAUUGGAGUCUGCAACUCGACUCCAUGAAGUUGGAAUCGCUAGUAAUCGCGAAUCAGAACGUCGCGGUGAAUACGUUCCCGGGCCUUGUACACACCGCCCGU
rnacentral:rRNA from 1 species